UGGGGAAUUUUGGACAAUGGGCGAAAGCCUGAUCCAGCAAUGCCGCGUGUGUGAAGAAGGCCUUCGGGUUGUAAAGCACUUUUGUCCGGAAAGAAAUCCUUGGCUCUAAUACAGUCGGGGGAUGACGGUACCGGAAGAAUAAGCACCGGCUAACUACGUGCCAGCAGCCGCGGUAAUACGUAGGGUGCAAGCGUUAAUCGGAAUUACUGGGCGUAAAGCGUGCGCAGGCGGUUUGCUAAGACCGAUGUGAAAUCCCCGGGCUCAACCUGGGAACUGCAUUGGUGACUGGCAGGCUAGAGUAUGGCAGAGGGGGGUAGAAUUCCACGUGUAGCAGUGAAAUGCGUAGAGAUGUGGAGGAAUACCGAUGGCGAAGGCAGCCUCCUGGGCCAAUACUGACGCUCAUGCACGAAAGCGUGGGGAGCAAAACAGGAUUAGAUACCCUGGUAGUCCACGCCCUAAAACGAUGUCAACUAGUUGUUGGGGAUUCAUUUCCUUAGUAACGUAGCUAACGCGUGAAGUUGACCGCCUGGGGAGUACGGUCGCAAGAUUAAAACUCAAAUGAAUUGACGGGGUCAUAGCUGUUUCCU
rnacentral:rRNA from 1 species